GCUUGCUGGGUACUCGAGUGGCGAACGGGUGAGUAACACGUGGGUGAUCUGCCCUGGACUCUGGGAUAAGCCUGGGAAACUGGGUCUAAUACCGGAUAUGACCUUACAUCGCAUGGUGUUUGGUGGAAAGCUUUUGCGGUUCAGGAUGGGCCCGCGGCCUAUCAGCUUGUUGGUGGGGUAAUGGCCUACCAAGGCGACGACGGGUAGCCGACCUGAGAGGGUGAUCGGCCACACUGGGACUGAGACACGGCCCAGACUCCUACGGGAGGCAGCAGUGGGGAAUAUUGCACAAUGGGCGCAAGCCUGAUGCAGCGACGCCGCGUGAGGGAUGACGGCCUUCGGGUUGUAAACCUCUUUCACCAGGGACGAAGCGUGAGUGACGGUACCUGGAGAAGAAGCACCGGCCAACUACGUGCCAGCAGCCGCGGUAAUACGUAGGGUGCGAGCGUUGUCCGGAAUUACUGGGCGUAAAGAGCUCGUAGGCGGUUUGUCGCGUCGUCUGUGAAAUUCUGCAACUCAAUUGUAGGCGUGCAGGCGAUACGGGCAGACUUGAGUACUACAGGGGAGACUGGAAUUCCUGGUGUAGCGGUGAAAUGCGCAGAUAUCAGGAGGAACACCGGUGGCGAAGGCGGGUCUCUGGGUAGUAACUGACGCU
rnacentral:rRNA from 1 species